rnacentral:rRNA from 1 species
UACGGAGGGUGCAAGCGUUAUCCGGAUUCACUGGGUUUAAAGGGUGCGUAGGUGGGUAUGUAAGUCAGUGGUGAAAUCCCCGAGCUUAACUUGGGAACUGCCGUUGAUACUAUAUAUCUUGAAUAUCGCAUAGGUAAGCGGAAUAUGUCAUGUAGCGGUGAAAUGCUUAGAUAUGACAUAGAACACCAAUUGCGAAGGCAGCUUACUUCACGAUUAUUGACACUGAGGCACGAAAGCGUGGGGAGCAAACAGG